ACGGGAGGCAGCAGUGGGGAAUAUUGGGCAAUGGGCGAAAGCCUGACCCAGCAACGCCGCGUGAAGGAAGAAGGUCUUCGGAUUGUAAACUUCUUUUAUGAGGGACGAAGGAAGUGACGGUACCUCAUGAAUAAGCCACGGCUAACUACGUGCCAGCAGCCGCGGUAAUACGUAGGGGGCAAGCGUUAUCCGGAUUUACUGGGUGUAAAGGGAGUGUAGGUGGUUUGGCAAGCCAGAUGUGAAAGCCCGGGGCUCAACCCCGUGGACUGCAUUUGGAACUGUUAAACUUGAGUGCAGGAGAGGAAAGUGGAAUUCCUAGUGUAGCGGUGAAAUGCGUAGAUAUUAGGAGGAACACCAGUGGCGAAGGCGGCUUUCUGGACUGUAACUGACACUGAGGCUCGAAAGCGUGGGGAGCAAACAGGAUUAGAUACCCUGGUA
rnacentral:rRNA from 1 species